rnacentral:tRNA from 1 species
GGAAGGUUGGCAGAAUGGCAUCGCGUCGGGUUGCUAACCCGUAGCCGCCCGAAAGGGCGUGGGGGUUCGAAUCCCUCACCUUCCG